rnacentral:tRNA from 1 species
GGGCGAUUAGCUCAAUUGGUAGAGCGUACGGGUCACAUCCGUGAGGUCACAGGUUCGAGCCCUGUAUCGCCCA